rnacentral:tRNA from 1 species
GUCCGUGUAGCUCAGUGGAUAGAGCAACCCCUUAACGCAGGGUUAGGUCGUGGGUUCAAUUCCCACCACGGGCA